rnacentral:rRNA from 1 species
GGCUCAGAUUGAACGCUGGCGGCAGGCCUAACACAUGCAAGUCGAACGGUAACAGGAAGAAGCUUGCUUCUUUGCUGACGAGUGGCGGACGGGUGAGUAAUGUCUGGGAAACUGCCUGAUGGAGGGGGAUAACUACUGGAAACGGUAGCUAAUACCGCAUAACGUCGCAAGACCAAAGAGGGGGACCUUCGGGCCUCUUGCCAUCGGAUGUGCCCAGAUGGGAUUAGCUUGUUGGUGGGGUAACGGCUCACCAAGGCGACGAUCCCUAGCUGGUCUGAGAGGAUGACCAGCCACACUGGAACUGAGACACGGUCCAGACUCCUACGGGAGGCGGCAGUGGGGAAUAUUGCACAAUGGGCGCAAGCCUGAUGCAGCCAUGCCGCGUGUAUGAAGAAGGCCAUCGGGUUGUAAAGUACUUUCAGCGGGGAGGAAGGGAGUAAAGUUAAUACCUUUGCUCAUUGACGUUACCCGCAGAAGAAGCACCGGCUAACUCCGUGCCAGCAGCCGCGGGUAAUACGGAGGGUGCAAGCGUUAAUCGGAAUUACUGGGCGUAAAGCGCACGCAGGCGGUUUGUUAAGUCAGAUGUGAAAUCCCCGGGCUCAACCUGGGAACUGCAUCUGAUACUGGCAAGCUUGAGUCUCGUAGAGGGGGGUAGAAUUCCAGGUGUAGCGGUGAAAUGCGUAGAGAUCUGGAGGAAUACCGGUGGCGAAGGCGGCCCCCUGGACGAAGACUGACGCUCAGGUGCGAAAGCGUGGGGAGCAAACAGGAUUAGAUACCCUGGUAGUCCACGCCGUAAACGAUGUCGACUUGGAGGUUGUGCCCUUGAGGCGUGGCUUCCGGAGCUAACGCGUUAAGUCGACCGCCUGGGGAGUACGGCCGCAAGGUUAAAACUCAAAUGAAUUGACGGGGGCCCGCACAAGCGGUGGAGCAUGUGGUUUAAUUCGAUGCAACGCGAAGAACCUUACCUGGUCUUGACAUCCACGGAAGUUUUCAGAGAUGAGAAUGUGCCUUCGGGAACCGUGAGACAGGUGCUGCAUGGCUGUCGUCAGCUCGUGUUGUGAAAUGUUGGGUUAAGUCCCGCAACGAGCGCAACCCUUAUCCUUUGUUGCCAGCGGUCCGGCCGGGAACUCAAAGGAGACUGCCAGUGAUAAACUGGAGGAAGGUGGGGAUGACGUCAAGUCAUCAUGGCCCUUACGACCAGGGCUACACACGUGCUACAAUGGCGCAUACAAAGAGAAGCGACCUCGCGAGAGCAAGCGGACCUCAUAAAGUGCGUCGUAGUCCGGAUUGGAGUCUGCAACUCGACUCCAUGAAGUCGGAAUCGCUAGUAAUCGUGGAUCAGAAUGCCACGGUGAAUACGUUCCCGGGCCUUGUACUCACCGCCCGUCA